rnacentral:rRNA from 1 species
GUGUCAGCAGCCGCGGUAAGACGAACCGUGCGAACGUUGUUCGGAUUCACUGGGCUUAAAGGGCGCGUAGGCGGCGGCUCAAGUCGGGGGUGAAAUCCUCUCGCUUAACGAGAGAAUUGCUUUCGAUACUGGGUCGCUGGAGGGAGAUAGGGGUGCGCGGAACUUCCGGUGGAGCGGUGAAAUGCGUAGAUAUCGGAAGGAACGCCGGUGGCGAAAGCGGCGCACUGGAUCUCUUCUGACGCUGAGGCGCGAAAGCCAGGGGAGCAAACGGGAUUAGAUACCCUUGUAGUCC